UUGGAGUUUAUAUACAUCCAUGAGUAGUGUCGGGUUUGGUCUUGGUGUGAUACUUGUUUGAAUCUCUUUAUUUAUUAAUUAUAUGGAAUGUACUCUUUCUAUCAUUAAUUAUUAUACCUGCUAGUUGAAGUCUGCAUGCCUUAAUUCUUGGCUACAAACCUUCCUGCAAGUAUUAUGUGAUAAGUUCCCCAUAUUGUGGUAC
rnacentral:lncRNA from 1 species